CCAACUAGGCGUCCAUAUAUGCCCCUGGCAUUUCCCUGUACGUUAGCGACGAUCCGCAAGGUAGCGACGAUGUUGGACCAGGUCUGCCGGCGUUCCUUGGCCAGGAUGGCAGCCUGGU
rnacentral:ncRNA from 1 species